rnacentral:rRNA from 1 species
UACGUAGGGUGCGAGCGUUAAUCGGAAUUACUGGGCGUAAAGCGUGCGCAGGCGGUGAUGUAAGACCGAUGUGAAAUCCCCGGGCUUAACCUGGGAAUUGCAUUUCAAACUGGCCGACUAGAGUACGGUAGAGGGAGGUAGAAUUUCCUGUGUAGCGGUGAAAUGCGUAGAUAUCGUGAGGAAGACCAGUUGCGAAGGCGACUCUCUGGGCAAUUCCUGACACUGAGGCACGAAGGCCAGGGGAGCAAACGGG